UACAGAGGUCUCAAGCGUUGUUCGGAUUCAUUGGGCGUAAAGGGUGCGUAGGCGGCGCGGUAAGUCGGAUGUGAAAUCUCGGAGCUUAACUUCGAAACUGCAUUCGAUACUGCCGUGCUUGAGGACUGGAGAGGAGACUGGAAUUUACGGUGUAGCGGUGAAAUGCGUAGAUAUCGGGAGGAACACCAGUGGCGAAGGCGACUACCUGGCCUGUUCUUGACGCUGAGGCGCGAAAGCUAGGGGAGCAAACGGG
rnacentral:rRNA from 1 species